rnacentral:rRNA from 1 species
UGGGUAACCUGCCCAAGAGAUCGGGAUAACACCUGGAAACAGAUGCUAAUACCGGAUAACAACAGAUGAUGCCUAUCAACUGUUUAAAAGAUGGUUCUGCUAUCACUCUUGGAUGGACCUGCGGUGCAUUAGCUAGUUGGUAGGGUAACGGCCUACCAAGGCGAUGAUGCAUAGCCGAGUUGAGAGACUGAUCGGCCACAUUGGGACUGAGACACGGCCCAAACUCCUACGGGAGGCAGCAGUC